UUCUUGACUCAAGAGUUUCCAAAGAUCAAAUUGAUGAGGGCAGGCAUCUCUGGCAGUGGGUGUGGUCCGUGGGAUCUGAUGAAAGUUGCUAAUCAUUUAACAUCAAAGGGUGUUUGGGGAAAGCAACAGUUGAUCUCUCGUCGGCCUUAUAGAAACCGAGAGGGAAUAGUCUUACCAUCUACUUUUCCAAGCCCAAACUCAUGUCUGUCAACUGGUCUAAUUACCUAUCUUGAUUCUCCGCCACCGAUGAUGGCAUCAUCAAGACUGUUGCAUGCUGGGAGUGACCCGAUGCGCAGGUCAUCCAAAGUACAGAGGGAAAGUUCAGGUGCUGCAGAGGAGAUGUCAAGAGUUUUUUGUCCUGAAUCAACCUCCUCGAGAUUGCUGAAAUUGUGAUGAGAGAAACAGAGAUUCUGGAGGGGGUUUAAAACCGUAGGAAAGAAAAAGAUCGACAAGAAAGGGGUCUUUAUUCAGAGAGAUGAGGGGUGUAGGUGUCUGGAGGGUGCUUUGAUGACAGAGUUUGGGGACAUUGACACAGGGAAGUAACUUCAAGCGGUUAUCCCCAAGAGCCAGGCUUGCCCUCUUUUUCUCCAAUGAUGAAUUUCAAAGCAGCAUGAGAUUAACAGUUCUUGUGUACUCUGUACAGAGGGCAGCAACUCACAGACCCCCUGUACUUUGAUGCAGAGACAGGCUCCUCAAUUUGAUGUAGUUCAAGUACAUGUGUACAGGUAUUUAUUGAAUGGUAAGAAGAAUUCCUCAUUUGUUAACAAUAACUCUCGUUAGAGGUUGAUUUGACGUUAUUUUGACUUUCGAAAAUAUCUCAGCUGCAAUGUCCUAUUUGUAUCGUGUGUCUGUAACAUAUUUUUAACAAACCCUGAAGCCCUGGAAAAAUGAUUGUACCCUAAAACCAUUGUUUAGCACUUCAAAAAGGUGAAAAGUUAAGUGACCAGAAACAUCAUCCCAAUAUAUUUCCAUACACUUUAUGUGUUAUAAUUUCACUCCCAUGAAGAUCGAUUGAAUAAUGAUUUUCUGUCACAGAUAUCUUGAAAUUGUCCGCAAGAAUUUGAUUUUUUUUUCAGCCUGGAUGUUUUGAUUAAAAACAGACCUGUCAACCAAUGUCUCUUAACUUCUCUGAUGUUUGAGUCACUGCAGUUGAAGUUGCCUGGUUCCGUGAAAAGUUAGUGGCCUGGUGUUAAAGCAUCCAUUGGCACUUCUUUGAUGUCGGGUCUUGGUUGGGUUUAGAAUAUGAUCUUGGGACUAGAUCAUGGGUAUUGUUAGAUUUAGAAUUAGACUUAGGUAUAGCCUGUCAGUCAGAUCCAUGACAUU
rnacentral:lncRNA from 1 species